AUUGAACGCUGGCGGCAGGCCUAACACAUGCAAGUCGAGCGGAGCGGCGGACGGGUGAGUAAUGCCUAGGAAUCUGCCUGGUCGUGGGGGAUAACGUCCGGAAACGGGCGCUAAUAUCUCAUACUAUCAGAUGAGCCUAGGUCGGAUUAGCUAGUUGGUGGGGUAAAGGCCGACCAAGGCGACGAUCCGUAAGUGGGCUGAGAGGAUGAUCAGUCACACUGGACCUAAGACACGGUCCAGACUCAUACGGGAGGCAGCAGUGGGGAAUUUUCGACAAUGGGCGAAGUCCUGAUCCAGCCAUGCCGCGUGUGGUAAUAAGGUCUUCGGAUUGUAAAGUACUUUAAGUUGGGAGGCGUUACCAACAUAAUAAGCACCGGCUAACUUCGUGCCAGCAGCCGCGGUAAUAC
rnacentral:rRNA from 1 species